AUCAUGUGACUGCGUUUUGCGC
rnacentral:siRNA from 1 species